rnacentral:rRNA from 1 species
AUUGAACGCUGGCGGCAGGCCUAACACAUGCAAGUCGAGCGGAUGAAGGGAGCUUGCUCCUGGAUUCAGCGGCGGACGGGUGAGUAAUGCCUAGGAAUCUGCCUGGUAGUGGGGGAUAACGUCCGGAAACGGGCGCUAAUACCGCAUACGUCCUGAGGGAGAAAGUGGGGGAUCUUCGGACCUCACGCUAUCAGAUGAGCCUAGGUCGGAUUAGCUAGUUGGUGGGGUAAAGGCCUACCAAGGCGACGAUCCGUAACUGGUCUGAGAGGAUGAUCAGUCACACUGGAACUGAGACACGGUCCAGACUCCUAAAGGAGGCAGCAGUGGGGAAUAUUGGACAAUGGGCGAAAGCCUGAUCCAGCCAUGCCGCGUGUGUGAAGAAGGUCUUCGGAUUGUAAAGCACUUUAAGUUGGGAGGAAGGGCAGUAAGUUAAUACCUUGCUGUUUUGACGUUACCAACAGAAUAAGCACCGGCUAACUUCGUG